GUUUUACUAGAGAUAUUCAAUUACAAUCAUGAAGGUAAAACAUGCUUAUUAUCAUGGAAAUUUUUGUAUUCAAGCACAUAAUUUCCAACAUGUAAUCAUGGCAAGUAAUUGUGUAAAAUCAUUAUUGCAAUCAAGUGAUUUGAUCAUUCAAUAAAAAAAGUCCGAAAAAUAAUUUUAACACGUUUAAUCAUUCGGACAUAUUUUUGCCAUAGUUUUUCAAAUAUAAUCAUGAAGAUAAGGCAUGCUCAUCAUCAUGGUAGUAUGAUAGCAAGUUUACCAUAUACAAGCUAGCAAAAUAUUUCUACAUUUUAAGGCCCGC
rnacentral:lncRNA from 1 species